rnacentral:rRNA from 1 species
GGAGUCUGGGCCGUGUCUCAGUCCCAAUGUGGCCGUUCAUCCUCUCAGAUCGGCUACUGAUCGUCGCCUUGGUGGGCCGUUAUCUCACCAACUAGCUAAUCAGACGCGGGUCCAUCUUGUACCACCGGAGUUUUUCACACUGCAUCAUGCGAUGCUGUGCGCUUAUGCGGUAUUACCAGCCGUUUCCAGCUGCUAUCCCCCUGUGCAAGGCAGGUUAUCCACGCGUUACUCACCCGUCCGCCACUAAGUUAAAGAUCCAUCCGAAAAUUUCUCUUUAACCCCGUUCGACUUGCAUGUGUUAGGCACGCCGCCAGCGUUCAUC